AUUGAACGCUGGCGGCAGGCUUAACACAUGCAAGUCGAGCGGGGGAAGGUAGCUUGCUACCGGACCUAGCGGCGGACGGGUGAGUAAUGCUUAGGAAUCUGCCUAUUAGUGGGGGACAACAUCUCGAAAGGGAUGCUAAUACCGCAUACGUCCUACGGGAGAAAGCAGGGGAUCUUCGGACCUUGCGCUAAUAGAUGAGCCUAAGUCGGAUUAGCUAGUUGGUGGGGUAAAGGCCUACCAAGGCGACGAUCUGUAGCGGGUCUGAGAGGAUGACCCGCCACACUGGGACUGAGACACGGCACAGACUCCUACGGGAGGUAGCAGUGGGGAAUAUUGGACAAUGGGGGGAACCCUGAUCCAGCCAUGCCGCGUGUGUGAAGAAGGCCUUAUGGUUGUAAAGCACUUUAAGCGAGGAGGAGGCUACUCUAGUUAAUACCUGGGGAUAGUGGACGUUACUCGCAGAAUAAGCACCGGCUAACUCUGUGCCAGCAGCCGCCGCCG
rnacentral:rRNA from 1 species